AUCAGUAAAUGUCAAUAUGACGUCUGAAGUAAUGACGUCACUGCCAAAUGGCUUGGGACGGACUGUAAUGUCACUAAGUGCGUUUUAGACUCGUUAAAGUUUGCUUGAAAGUUCGCACUUUUUUGAAAUUAACUCCAUCAAAGAAUUCAAGUGGAGUUAGAUCAGGCAUUCGAAGCGGCCAGUAAAUAAAAUCAUUGAAACCAGUUAAUGGAUGUAAAGAAAAUGACGAGAGAGCGAUUGAUAAUGAUAUUUUGACUGCAUAAGUAGACCAAAAAUAGAUGGAUGUUGCAGAAUUCCCCACGAACAAGCAAGGCUUAUAAAGGAAAACUGAAGAAAGUUUUUCAACUCCCUCCUAGAAGAAGACCAAUAUUUCAAAAUUCUAAUGGUUGGAACAAUCUGUUGGACGAAAUAAAACAAAAUUCCUGAGAUUUGCAGAUGAUUCAACCAUGUUUGCAGUGGCAAGAUUUGUAUCAGAAGAGGAAACGUCGGGCUUUCUGAAUCGAGUUAAGAUAGAUUCAUACGAAAUAUCCUAAAGAAAAUUCAAUGAGCAACUAAGACCCAGGAAAUAAUAAACAUCGUUUUGCUGUAAAAGAUAAUAAAAACUAGUUGGAUUUUUU